UGUAUCUACUGUCCGAAAGGGACAUGUACGUAACUGACGUGAGGUUAAUCCAGUCAAUCCAUAGCAGGUCCAUAGCAAUGUUAUUUAUUUAUUUUUAUGUUGACAGGGUUCACACACUAGUUGAAUUUGCAGAGCUAGCGCGCAAACUAAAGCAAACAUUAACUAUCAAGCUAGUUAGUACCUAUUCCAUUUAUGUGGCGUCGUUAAAGAUGGAAUCUUUGCUAUCGUCAGUUUAUUCCAAGAUCAGCAUGCAGCUGUAGUGCUUCGACGUCCCUGUGAUAAGGUUAGCAAUAAACUGAAGUCCAAACUGAACAGAACAGAACUACACUCUCUUCUACCAUUGUCUUAAAUAUAUAUAAUGGUCUCGUUGCAAAAGAUAAAUUGUCGCUAGUGAACUUUUUUUAUUUUAUUUUAUUUCACCUUUAUUUAACCAGGUAGCAAAGAUUAUAGCAAACACACAGAAACGGAAUUGGUGCUCGCUAGCUUUACAAAUUCAGCUAUUGUUGGAAGCCAGCCAAUAUGAAACAAACUAUUUAAAUUACAAAAGGUUGCAGCAUGUGUUGUGUAAAUGUGUGUGUGUGCAGCUAGGCCAGCCAGCCAGCCAGGUAGAAAAAUGGCAGAAAAAAGUAAGAAGACGGACAUCAGAGUAUUUGUCAGUACACCAAAACGCAUAGUAAGAACUCUAGUAUCCUAAUAUCUCAAAGACUAGUUGAUAAAAUGUUCAUAAGAAAGAAGUGAAAUGCUAAUGGAAAUGUUUCACAAUGAUGUCAUUAGGCAGAGCAGGCAACAGAUGGCACACAGACAGCAGAGCUGGGGACAGAUAUGCAGGGACAGACUGGCAGAGACAGGGAGUCUCAGAUUUGAUAUUACUCAGGAGCUGCUAGAUUACUUGGAUGCUACCUCUGUCCCAGCACAAAUCCUUUCCCCUUCCAAAUAACCCAGUAGAACUCACCAAGCCACCCUUCACUUCAAGGAAACCUUCCAUCUUCCACAAAACAGGAACCCUGUUCAGUAAGUUCCGAAAGACGUGGAACAGAGGAAUCCUGACUCCGAAAUGUUAGAAUCCUGACUUUGGAGUGAGAAGAUUCUACCAGUCUGGAUACCUUAUCAUACCUGUAACAUCACCUGUGUACAUAAUGGUUAAUAAUAAUAUUAUGAUUAUUUACUAAAAUAAUUCUCAAAAUGUGCUAACUUAUAUGACUUUACUCGCUUUAAUCUAAGAAUGUGUAUUAUCUUUCUACUUGAAAGAGCAGUCAUCUCUUGACCACUGCAGUGCUUUAAUGAUGAAUGGUGUCUAAACCAACAUCCCAAUGCCUUGUCCAAAUGCCCCCAAACUGCUUGAAUAGGUAACAUGAUAAACGACCAAUCAAUGUACAGCUGACUAUUAGACAGAAACUUUACAUAGUUCCUUGUAUGUGAGUAGACUUACUUUACAUAGAUUUUGAUAUUUGUAACAUGUAUUUAGAUAAACAGACAUUUUAAAUAAAUAUAUACAUUUACAUAUG